GAGCAUUGCAGAAGAUAAAAAAAAUCAGAACAUGUCAUGUUUAUGGAAGUAUGGCCAUCAUGUGAACCUACAAAACGAAACGGAGCAUUUAGCUUCUUCCUUAUGAAGUGUCAAAUGUUUAUGUGUUAUCAAAAGGACUGGAAUGUUAGCAUGCUUUAGAUCAUCCUUUAGUCCUGAAUAGAUAUAUUUUUACGUAGCUCUUUUCCAAUAAUAAAUUCGGCAAUUCGUUCAUCUAUUACACCCUAGGAACGAAUAUACCUAACAAAUAAAAAAAAUCCAUUUCAAAUUAUAGACACGCGGGCUAUUAGGUAACUAUAAUAUUUUUAGCAAACUAUCAAUAACUAACCAAAAUUCCUGAAUCUGUAACAUGUAUUACUGAUAUUAAUAAUUAAGUAAUAUCUGCUACACAGGACAUAAAAUGUGAAAAUGCAUGCUAAGAUUAGAUUCAUGAUGGCUGCAUUUAACUUUAUCUUGCAGUCUUUUCCUGUCCCUUGAUGUUUUGGCAUCCACUUGUUGGCGUACCUCGAAGUCGGGACCAACUCCUAUGCUCCCUCCUGUAACCAACAUAAGCCUAAUGUCAUGAAAACAUGUUAACAUCACGAUAGUUUCAGUUCAAAAUAAAACCAUAAAAGAAACCUACAAAAGUUU
rnacentral:lncRNA from 1 species